UACGUAGGGUCCAAGCGUUAAUCGGAAUUACUGGGCGUAAAGCGUGCGUAGGCGGUCUCGCAAGUCCGAUGUGAAAUCCCCGGGCUUAACCUGGGAACUGCGUUGGAAACUAUGAGACUAGAGUGCGGCAGAGGGGGGUGGAAUUCCAGGUGUAGCAGUGAAAUGCGUAGAUAUCUGGAGGAACACCGAUGGCGAAGGCAGCCCCCUGGGCCAGCACUGACGCUCAUACACGAAAGCGUGGGGAGCAAACAGG
rnacentral:rRNA from 1 species